UACGGAGGGUGCAAGCGUUAUCCGGAUUCACUGGGUUUAAAGGGUGCGUAGGUGGAUUGGUAAGUCAGUGGUGAAAUCUCCGGGCUUAACCCGGAAACUGCCAUUGAUACUAUCAGUCUUGAAUACCGUGGAGGUCAGUAGAAUAUGUCAUGUAGCGGUGAAAUGCUUAGAUAUGACAUAGAAUACCAAUUGCGAAGGCAGCUGGCUACACGAAUAUUGACACUCAGGCACGAAGGCGUGGGGAUCAAACAGG
rnacentral:rRNA from 1 species